rnacentral:rRNA from 1 species
AUUGAACGCUGGCGGCCGGCCUAACACAUGCAAGUCGAACGAGUGGCGGAAGGGUGAGUAAUGUCUGGGAAACUGCCUGAUGGAGGGGGAUAACUACUGGAAACGGUAGCUAAUACCGCAUACCAUCAGAUGUGCCCAGAUGGGAUUAGCUUGUUGGUGGGGUAACGGCUCACCAAGGCGACGAUCCCUAGCUGGUCUGAGAGGAUAACCAACCCCACUAGAACGGAUACACGGUCCAGACGCCUACGGGAGGCAGCAGUGGGCAAUAUUGAACAAUGGGCGCAAGCCUGAUGCAGCCAUGCCGCGUGGAUGAAGAAGGCCUUCGGGUUUUAAAGUACUUUCAGCGGGGAGGCGUUACCCGAAGAAGAAGCACCGGCUAACUACGUGCCAUCAGCCGCGGUAAUAC